rnacentral:sRNA from 1 species
UUCUAUGAAAAUCCUCUCAACAAGUACAGGGCUAUCUUUGUACACGAGUUCUUCAACACUCCUUGGAAAAUAGCAUCUACUACAGUUGCCAUUGUACUACUUUUGAUCACGUCUCUCUCUUUGUUCAAUCAUCUCACUAUUCUAUUUUAGGGUAAUUAAAGAGAGGAUUCAUCAAAUAAGCAACAAGGAAAUCAGGUAGUGAAG